CAGAGAUUGCAUGGCCCGUGGCGGACUCCAGCGCAACCUCUGCGGAAUCUACCUGAUUCCAAACCACUGGCACUUCCGGCGCGCAAAGCCCCUUGCGGAGAGGAGGCAAGAGAAGCCAGCUGGGAAGAGGCCCAUCACUUGGCUACAAAGCAGAUGGACCACCUCCUCAGGGCUCCUGGAAACUGCUGAAGCACGAUGAGGGAGGUGACAUUACUCACAGGAAGGAAUCAAGCAUUUACAGUGGACUUGAGACUGCAUCCUUCAGACUGAAGUCCUGAGGCCCAGUUCUGAGUCAGACUCUCUCUCUCUCUCUCUCUCUCUCUCUCUCUCUCUCUCUCUCUCUCUCUCUCUCUCUCAUUUUUCUUUUCUUGGCUCAGGAAAUUUUAACCAGGAAUUGCUUUAAUAGGUAUAAUUAGCUAUAGUUUUGUUCCCUAAUCAGCCUUGUUUCUAAACACAUUACUAGGAAUCUAGGAGGGUCCAACCAGCGCCACAGCAUAUUAGCUGAAGAAUCCAAAGUCUACUCUUGGAGUUCAUAAGUCCCACUAAUAACAAUAAUAUAAGAGCUGACCCAAAAGAAGUUCAAGGACGUUUAUUAUUAGCAUUUAAAAAUAUAAAGCAGGAGAAGGCAAAACUGUGAAUCUCAGCAGCUGCCCAGAGGAGAAAGAUGGAGAAGGCAGUGUGGUCCUACAGCUUAAGCUAAGCCAAGAUGAAGGUCAGCCAUAAGGCAGGCAAGCAGCCACCAGGUACGGAGGGAGGCUCUGCAGAAAGGCCAGAGGGGUCAGGAAAGGUGCUUCGAAGAGAGAUGGAAGCAAGGGAGCGCUGUGAUUUUCUGAGUGGUUCAGCAAGGCAGGCAAUCUCAGGUGCACAGGGCUACACUAGUGGGUGGGAGUUCUGCAGAGGGAAAGAACUGUAUCUAAUUAAAUGUGUAAUUAUUCCUCUUAUCUCGUUAUAAGGAUUAAAUUGGUCCGUCCUUCUUGAGGGAUAGUCCCUUCGCCAGGUGGUUGACCUGCCCAAUUAGAAUGUUGGGUAUCCACCUAGGCCAUUCUCUUGAUCAGAAGGAAAUAGUUUUCCUUUAAUGUUACUGUAACAGAUUUUGUUGCCAGAGAUUUCCUGAAUUGAGUCUUAGGCUAGGUAGUAUAUGGGGCCAUGUUGUUGGUCUAGCAUGGAUCUCAUCUUUAGGUUUAAAAUGCAUGUCCUUUAUGUUUUUCUCAAUCUUGGAUUCAGGUCAUGACAUAUAGGAGCCACGUUGCUCAGCUACCAAAGACUCCUUUAACUAUGGAACCAGGCACAGUUAACACAGUCAAACGUGUGUUACACCUGGGGCUCAUGUGCAUUGUUUGCUAUGAACGUUGAACUACAAAGGAGCAUUCACCCCACAGGUUGAGAUUCAGGUCCCCUCUGGUCCUACAGCUAGGACAGUAGACAAUGCUUUAAAUAUCAAAAGGGACUUUCAGAUACUUUGAAUCCUUUGGGCAACUUUGGGUGGUUUCGCUACGCCAUUUCCUAAGGUCACAUAGGACUCGUAGAUCAAUGGCCUUACCAACGGCAUUGUCCAGGCCUCUGUGGAUCUGCCGAACUGGGAAGAGCUAAAGCAAAGACAUGCCUCUGCAGUGGGGCUUGGCAGUGGGGAUGUCUCUGUGUCUGUCCUGUAACCACGUCUGCCUUACAAUAAAAUACCUUGGUUGAUUCAGCA
rnacentral:lncRNA from 1 species